CCCUUGUCAUCUGUCACAGAUGAAAAGCCUUUCUUAUAUUCUCCUUGUAAUCCAUUCACUGCCUCAGAGACUCCUGAUUCCUCGGGGGAAUAUCCCUGAGCUGCCCGGUGUCCCUGCAUGCUCGAUUUUACAUCCGCUGCCAGAGUUAUCUGCAGGAUUUGCAAAAGUCUGCAGUCAGGACAAGCUUGGCAGAGAAGCCAUGGGAGACUGAAUCAGACCGGAGGAAAAUACAUAUGCAUGAAGCUGAACUAGCCGAGGCUCCGAGGAGAUCUUUGGUUUGGUAGCCUAGGUAAAGAAGUGGCCAUUAGAAUCCCAUUUCAGAAGACAGAGGGAGAGGAGUCCGCACACCUAUCAACCAUGAACUAAAGGAAUCAGGUCUCUAAAACUUGUCUUCUUUGCCAGUCUCAUUCAGAAUCAGUAUGUGUUAAAUGGGAACCACUCAGAGACCGGUGCCCACAGAAUUCAACUAUAAAUCAUAAACAAAUACUGGGAGAUGGCAUCUUUUUAAUUAAACUUUUUUAGUUUUGAAGAUGACAUUUUAAAUAAAUGGGCUAUCAGUGUACUA